UACGAAGGGGGCUAGCGUUGCUCGGAAUUACUGGGCGUAAAGGGCGCGUAGGCGGCACUGUUAGUCAGGCGUGAAAGUCCUGGGCUCAACCUGGGAACUGCGCUUGAUACGGCAGAGCUAGAGGAUGGAAGAGGGUCGCGGAAUUCCCAGUGUAGAGGUGAAAUUCGUAGAUAUUGGGAAGAACACCGGUGGCGAAGGCGGCGACCUGGUCCAUUACUGACGGCUGAGGCGCGACAGCGUGGG
rnacentral:rRNA from 1 species